rnacentral:rRNA from 1 species
UACGUAGGGACCGAGCGUUGUCCGGAAUCAUUGGGCGUAAAGAGCGUGUAGGCGGCCACUUAAGUCCUGCGUGAAAUCCUGCGGCUCAACCGCAGGCGGUCGUGGGAAACUGGGUGGCUAGAGUGCGGGAGAGGAGAGUGGAAUUCCUGGUGUAGCGGUGGAAUGCGCAGAUAUCAGGAAGAACACCCGUGGCGAAGGCGGCUCUCUGGGCAUGACCUGACGCUGAGGAGCGAAAGUGUGGGAGGCGAACAGG